rnacentral:rRNA from 1 species
UACGGAGGGUGCAGGCGUUAUCCGGAAUCACUGGGUUUAAAGGGUGCGUAGGCGGUCCGAUAAGUCAGAGGUGAAAGCUCAUCGCUUAACGAUGAAACUGCCUUUGAUACUGUCAGACUUGAAUUAGGAUAAGGUAAGCGGAAUGUGGCAUGUAGCGGUGAAAUGCAUAGAUAUGCCAUAGAACACCAAUUGCGUAGGCAGCUUACUACACGAUCAUUGACGCUGAGGCACGAAAGCGUGGGGAGCAAACAGG